GGUUUAUGAGGUAUCUUCGCUCCCUAUCUCUUCUUUAUUUCCCUUCACAGAUCAAUAGGUAUCCUUAUUUGCCUGUACUUGUGGAUAUCUUGAGCUUAUCGUUGCAACUAGUUCUGGAUCUGGUUCUUUGCGUUGCGAUUUCCUUAAAAAGAUCAAGUGUUAAUGUUUUUCAUUAUAAUUUUUGUUUCUUUCCUUUAUUGGUUGGGGUUGGUGAUAAAUUUUCUUAUUUUGUUUCGAAAGUUUUGUGUUCUUUGUGAUAUUAUUUUUCUUUGAUGAUCAUAUUCACGAGUUAUUCUAGAGUUUGAUUAGUUGGGUUUUUAGAGCGAAGAAAUGAAAUGGGAUUUUUUUUUAUUUAGCCGAAAAUGCUAAUUUUGUGCUCCUAUCUGAUCCAUUAUUUGAUUCGUGAAAUUUAGCUAAAAUGAUUAUGGAAUAGGAAUUUUAUUAUUUUUCUGAUGUUAAUUUUUAUCAUAAUCUGUAUUAUUUCUUUUGUUCGUUUUGCAAAUUAUCAAAAUUUUGAUCCAAUUUUUGUGAAGACACCUGCUUUGUUUAGUCUCCAAAUUAUGCGAAAAGGUUGACAAUACUCACUGAUUGCCCUUUUCUUUUAUUUUUAUUUUUUUUACUUGCAGCUCAAAGGAGAGACCCACUCU
rnacentral:misc_RNA from 1 species